rnacentral:rRNA from 1 species
GAUGAACGCUGGCGGCGUGCCUAAUACAUGCGAGUCGAGCGAACAGACGAGGAGCUUGCUCCUCUGACGUUAGCGGCGGACGGGUGAGUAACACGUGGAUAACCUACCUAUAAGACUGGGAUAACUUCGGGAAACCGGAGCUAAUACCGGAUAAUAUAUUGAACCGCAUGGUUCAAUAGUGAAAGACGGUUUUGCUGUCACUUAUAGAUGGAUCCGCGCCGCAUUAGCUAGUUGGUAAGGUAACGGCUUACCAAGGCAACGAUGCGUAGCCGACCUGAGAGGGUGAUCGGCCACACUGGAACUGAGACACGGUCCAGACUCCUACGGGAGGCAGCAGUAGGGAAUCUUCCGCAAUGGGCGAAAGCUUGACGGAGCAACGCCGUGUGAGUGAUGAAGGUCUUCGGAUCGUAAAACUCUGUUAUUAGGGAAGAACAAAUGUGUAAGUAACUAUGCACGUCUUGACGGUACCUAAUCAGAAAGCCACGGCUAACUACGUG